CCUACGGGGGGCAGCAAUUAGGAAUCUUGCGCAAUGGGCGAAAGCCUGACGCAGCGACGCCGCGUGGAGGACGAAGGCCUUCGGGUUGUAAACUCCUUUUGUGAGGGAAGAAAAAAAUGACGGUACCUCACGAAUAAGCCACGGCUAACUCCGUGCCAGCAGCCGCGGUAAUACGGAGGUGGCGAGCGUUGUCCGAAGUUACUGGGCGUAAAGCGCGCGUAGGCGGGCUGUUAAGUGAGAGGUGAAAGGCUGGGGCUUAACCCCAUGCAGUGCCUCUCAUACUGGCGGUCUUGAGGGCGGUAGGGAAAAGUGGAAUGGCUGGUGUAGCGGUGAAAUGCGUAGAUAUCAGUCGGAACACCGGUGGCGAAGGCGGCUUUUUGGGCCGUUCCUGACGCUGAGGCGCGAAAGCCAGGGGAGCGAACGGGAUUAGAUACCCUUGUAGUC
rnacentral:rRNA from 1 species